CAAUAGCGUAUAUUAAAGUUGUUGCGGUUAAAAAGCUCGUAGUUGGAUUUCUGCUGAGAACGACCGGUCCGCCCUUUGGGUGUGUAUCUGGCUCUUUCUUGGCAUCUUCUUGGUGAACGUUGCUGCACUUGACUGUGUGGAGCGCUACCCAGGACUUUUACUUUGAGGAAAUUAGAGUGUUUCAAGCAGGCAUACGCCUUGAAUACAUUAGCAUGGAAUAAUAAGAUACGACUUUGGUCUAUUUUGUUGGUUUGCAUUCCAAAGUAAUGAUUAAUAGGGAUAGUUGGGGGUAUUCGUAUUCAAUUGUCAGAGGUGAAAUUCUUGGAUUUAUGGAAGACGAACUACUGCGAAAGCAUUUACCAAGGAUGUUUUCAUUAA
rnacentral:rRNA from 1 species